GUCUAGCUCCCAAACAUCAGCAAAAACAUUUGACCUUGGGUUUUUUUUUGGAUUGGGUUAUUUCACUUAGCAUGAUAGUCUCCAUAUCCAGUAUGAAGAUUCCUCAAAAAGCUAGGAAUGGAAGCACCAUUUGACCCAGUUAUCCCACUCCUUAUAAUAUAUCCAAGGGAUUUAAAAUCAGCAAACUACAGUCACACAGCCACAUUAAUGUUUAUAGCAGCACAAUUCACAAUAGCUAAGCUUUGGAACUAACCUAGAUGCCCAUCAACAGAUGAAUGGAUAUGGUAUAGAUACACAAUGUAAUAUUACUCAGCCAUAAAGAAGAUUAACUUUAUGACAUAUUUGCUUUACUAGCACAAGUUUUCUCAAGUGGGAUCAGGAUUUACUUAGAGUAUAUGGUGGUUAAUUUUAGGAGUCAGUUUGGGCUAAGGGGGCCCCAGAUGAUUAGAAGAUAUUAUUUCUGGGUGUGUCCUUGAGGUCCUUUCCAGGAGAGAUUAGCAUUUGAAUUUACUGCCAAUCAAAG
rnacentral:lncRNA from 1 species